GCGGCGGCCGGAGCUGGAGUGGGAGGAGGGGAGGAACCUGAUCCUCCGGUAGCGAAGGGCUGGAGGCAAACACCGAGCUCCCCCAGAGCCGCCCGGGAGCAGGGAGGGCUCCGCUACCCCGAGGGGCCCUCCCCUAGGGGCCGAGGGUCCUGAGUGAUGACAAAAAGAGCAAUUUGCUUUCCCUCGUCUAUCCGAUCCCAUCACACCACCCUGAAUCAGUUGAUGGAAUCUGGGGAAUCCAUUUCCAUGCCCUAAAUUCUGUAAGAACCUCUUACAGAAGCCACCAGCUUCUCAGUUUGUUAUUGACUCUGCAUAAAGGUGUUGGCUGCUAUCAGCAGAAGCCAUAAAGAAUAUCACAGAGAAAAAGGUUGACUUGGUUGGGAGAACAUGGAAAUCUACAACAAAGUGUCCUUGAAGUAGAAAUUUUAGAAACUAAAAUAAUACAUGUACUUUAAGCGAUACUAAAAAUGCUGUGACAUCCUGUGUUAUUUAGUUAGACCAGAGGACAGCAAACAUUUUCUAUAAAGAGCCAGACAGGAAGUAUUUUAGGCUUUCCUGGCCAUGCAGUCUUUCUCAAUUACUCCAUUCUGCCA